GUAAAAACCAAUGAACCACUAAAGUAAUUAGUAAAAAUUUAUUGUGCACACACCAAAAAUAGUUUGCAAACCGGGAGCUCUGGAACCAGAGCACGGAAUGAGGCCCAGGGUAUAUCUUUAUAAAGCUACUUGUGCCGUGAGAAAGCAGUGACUGUUUAUUCUUCACGGAUUGGCUGCAGUGAGAAUUUUCAGUGGUCCCUUCAUAUCAUCCAUGGGAACCAGUUCAAGUUUUGCUUAUCAUUUCCAGAAGCUCAAACAAGAAAUGAUCUAGGUCAACUUAGCCUUGCAAAAUAAGCUAAAUUAUGCUUUGUUUGUAUGAUCAUACUGGUUACUCUGCUUAGAAUUUUCAAGGCUAGUCUCCGUUCGGUUUUGAUUUUAAUAGGCUCUAUCUCUCAAUAAAUGCGAGAGAGCCCGCGAAAGCGCCCCAAUACGAAGCUGCGCUAUCUGGGCGGCACUAGGACCCCGGGGGCUCCAGGUUAGCUCUCCCAGCCGGCGAGUGGUGGCGCGGGUUUAAGGACCGGCAGGAGCUGGAAGCAAGGGAAGGGCGAGGCGAGUGAGCAGGGACACAAUGGACACUUUCUGCCCUCUGGAGGGAGCUAUCCAAAAGAAGAAACUGCACUUGGAAAUUGACCUAUGAGCAGCACAGAAGAUGAAGAAGAAGGAAAGGGGCCAUCAAGCAGAGAAAUGUGGAGAUCCUGGUGAUACUGGCAAUGACCCUUCAGCAGGGAGAUGGCUGGACCUGCCAAGUGGAGCACCCCAGCCUGGAUGGUCCUGUCACUGUGGAGUGGAGUUCCUGAUCUGACCCAAAGACCUCCGUGUGCCCCGGAACAAGCAUUUUUCUAUCUUUCCUCAGUCCUAGAGGCUGGUUCUGGGACAGACUUCAGCCUCCCAAGAGGAUGUUACUACGAAGUAACUGAAACUAGUUUCUAUAGUUGUUCUUUGAUUCCAUGCACACUUUCUCUCAGGGCCCCUAUCCAAGUUCCCUUCUUAUAGUUCCAUAAAUAAUAAAAGGUCAAUGUUA